rnacentral:tRNA from 1 species
GGGUAUGGCUCAGUGGUAGAGUGUAUGCUUAGCAUGCACGAGAUCCUGGGUUUAAUCCCCAGUAGCUCCA